rfam:Trichobilharzia regenti genome assembly, scaffold: TRE_scaffold0002536
AUCCGGAUGACGAGUCCCAAACAGGACGAAAUACUCGUUGUCCUGAAU